UAAGGGCGCACGGUGGAUGCCUUGGCACUAGAAGCCGAUGAAGGACGUUACUAACGACGAUAUGCUUUGGGGAGCUGUAAGUAAGCUUUGAUCCAGAGAUUUCCGAAUGGGGAAACCCAGCAUGAGUUAUGUCAUGUUAUCGAUAUGUGAAUACAUAGCAUAUCAGAAGGCACACCCGGAGAACUGAAACAUCUUAGUACCCGGAGGAAGAGAAAGAAAAUUCGAUUCCCUUAGUAGCGGCGAGCGAAACGGGAAGAGCCCAAACCAACAAGCUUGCUUGUUGGGGUUGUAGGACACUCUAUACGGAGUUACAAAGGACGACAUUAGACGAAUCAUCUGGAAAGAUGAAUCAAAGAAGGUAAUAAUCCUGUAGUCGAAAAUGUUGUCUCUCUUGAGUGGAUCCUGAGUACGACGGAGCACGUGAAAUUCCGUCGGAAUCUGGGAGGACCAUCUCCUAAGGCUAAAUACUCUCUAGUGACCGAUAGUGAACCAGUACCGUGAGGGAAAGGUGAAAAGCACCCCGGAAGGGGAGUGAAAUAGAACCUGAAACCGUGUGCUUACAAGUAGUCAGAGCCCGUUAAUGGGUGAUGGCGUGCCUUUUGUAGAAUGAACCGGCGAGUUACGAUUUGAUGCAAGGUUAAGCAGUAAAUGUGGAGCCGUAGCGAAAGCGAGUCUGAAUAGGGCGUUUAGUAUUUGGUCGUAGACCCGAAACCAGGUGAUCUACCCUUGGUCAGGUUGAAGUUCAGGUAACACUGAAUGGAGGACCGAACCGACUUACGUUGAAAAGUGAGCGGAUGAACUGAGGGUAGCGGAGAAAUUCCAAUCGAACCUGGAGAUAGCUGGUUCUCUCCGAAAUAGCUUUAGGGCUAGCCUCAAGUGAUGAUUAUUGGAGGUAGAGCACUGUUUGGACGAGGGGCCCCUCUCGGGUUACCGAAUUCAGACAAACUCCGAAUGCCAAUUAAUUUAACUUGGGAGUCAGAACAUGGGUGAUAAGGUCCGUGUUCGAAAGGGAAACAGCCCAGACCACCAGCUAAGGUCCCAAAAUAUAUGUUAAGUGGAAAAGGAUGUGGCGUUGCCCAGACAACUAGGAUGUUGGCUUAGAAGCAGCCAUCAUUUAAAGAGUGCGUAAUAGCUCACUAGUCGAGUGACACUGCGCCGAAAAUGUACCGGGGCUAAACAUAUUACCGAAGCUGUGGAUUGUCCUUUGGACAAUGGUAGGAGAGCGUUCUAAGGGCGUUGAAGCAUGAUCGUAAGGACAUGUGGAGCGCUUAGAAGUGAGAAUGCCGGUGUGAGUAGCGAAAGACGGGUGAGAAUCCCGUCCACCGAUUGACUAAGGUUUCCAGAGGAAGGCUCGUCCGCUCUGGGUUAGUCGGGUCCUAAGCUGAGGCCGACAGGCGUAGGCGAUGGAUAACAGGUUGAUAUUCCUGUACCACCUAUAAUCGUUUUAAUCGAUGGGGGGACGCAGUAGGAUAGGCGAAGCGUGCGAUUGGAUUGCACGUCUAAGCAGUAAGGCUGAGUAUUAGGCAAAUCCGGUACUCGUUAAGGCUGAGCUGUGAUGGGGAGAAGACAUUGUGUCUUCGAGUCGUUGAUUUCACACUGCCGAGAAAAGCCUCUAGAUAGAAAAUAGGUGCCCGUACCGCAAACCGACACAGGUAGUCAAGAUGAGAAUUCUAAGGUGAGCGAGCGAACUCUCGUUAAGGAACUCGGCAAAAUGACCCCGUAACUUCGGGAGAAGGGGUGCUCUUUAGGGUUAACGCCCAGAAGAGCCGCAGUGAAUAGGCCCAAGCGACUGUUUAUCAAAAACACAGGUCUCUGCUAAACCGUAAGGUGAUGUAUAGGGGCUGACGCCUGCCCGGUGCUGGAAGGUUAAGAGGAGUGGUUAGCUUCUGCGAAGCUACGAAUCGAAGCCCCAGUAAACGGCGGCCGUAACUAUAACGGUCCUAAGGUAGCGAAAUUCCUUGUCGGGUAAGUUCCGACCCGCACGAAAGGCGUAACGAUUUGGGCACUGUCUCAACGAGAGACUCGGUGAAAUCAUAGUACCUGUGAAGAUGCAGGUUACCCGCGACAGGACGGAAAGACCCCGUGGAGCUUUACUGUAGCCUGAUAUUGAAAUUCGGCACAGCUUGUACAGGAUAGGUAGGAGCCUUUGAAACGUGAGCGCUAGCUUACGUGGAGGCGCUGGUGGGAUACUACCCUAGCUGUGUUGGCUUUCUAACCCGCACCACUUAUCGUGGUGGGAGACAGUGUCAGGCGGGCAGUUUGACUGGGGCGGUCGCCUCCUAAAAGGUAACGGAGGCGCUCAAAGGUUCCCUCAGAAUGGUUGGAAAUCAUUCAUAGAGUGUAAAGGCAUAAGGGAGCUUGACUGCGAGACCUACAAGUCGAGCAGGGUCGAAAGACGGACUUAGUGAUCCGGUGGUUCCGCAUGGAAGGGCCAUCGCUCAACGGAUAAAAGCUACCCCGGGGAUAACAGGCUUAUCUCCCCCAAGAGUUCACAUCGACGGGGAGGUUUGGCACCUCGAUGUCGGCUCAUCGCAUCCUGGGGCUGUAGUCGGUCCCAAGGGUUGGGCUGUUCGCCCAUUAAAGCGGUACGCGAGCUGGGUUCAGAACGUCGUGAGACAGUUCGGUCCCUAUCCGUCGUGGGCGUAGGAAAUUUGAGAGGAGCU
rnacentral:rRNA from 1 species